UAUGCACUAAACCAUAUAGG
rnacentral:tRNA from 1 species